rnacentral:rRNA from 1 species
GGUUGCGAUCAUACCAGCACUAAUGCACCGGAUCCCAUCAGAACUCCGCAGUUAAGCAUGCUUGGGCGAGAGUAGUACUAGGAUGGGUGAACCCCUGGGAAGUCCUCGUGUUGCAACCCC